rnacentral:rRNA from 1 species
UACGAAGGGGGCUAGCGUUGCUCGGAAUCACUGGGCGUAAAGCGCACGUAGGCGGCUUUUUAAGUCAGGGGUGAAAUCCUGGAGCUCAACUCCAGAACUGCCUUUGAUACUGAGAAGCUUGAGUCCGGGAGAGGUGAGUGGAACUGCGAGUGUAGAGGUGAAAUUCGUAGAUAUUCGCAAGAACACCAGUGGCGAAGGCGGCUCACUGGCCCGGUACUGACGCUGAGGUGCGGAAAGCGUGGGGAGCAACAGGGAUU